rnacentral:rRNA from 1 species
UACGAAGGGGGCGAGCGUUGUUCGGAUUUACUGGGCGUAAAGGGCGCGCAGGCGGCCAGAUUUGUCAGGCGUGAAAGCCCCGGGCUCAACCUGGGAAUUGCAUUUGAGACUGCUCUGCUCGGGUGCGGAAGAGGGAAGCGGAAUUUCCGGUGUAGCGGUGAAAUGCGUAGAUAUCGGAAGGAACACCAGUGGCGAAAGCGGCUUCCUGGUCCGACACCGACGUUCAGGCACGAAAGCGUGGGGAGCAAACAGG